AGUCAGAGAGAAGUGACACCUCAAGAGCAGUCGGCGCAUCUUUUCCGUGGUCUGUAAAUGCCAUUCUCCACUGAGAGGACUCAUGGCUCCUUGGAGAGCUCGCUGAAUCCUGAGCUGGGGAACGGAAGAAAGAAAACAACGAAGAUGGAAAAGCUCAAGAAUGCAGUCAGCUUUCUCAAUCCACCCUGACAUACAGUGUAUAAUAUUACUGACUGAAGCUCCGCUUUCAAGAUAAAGGAUGAUCGUCACAACGGCUAGUAUUUGUGGGCUUCCCGUAGUUGUCUGGAGUUACCAACGGGCAAGUGGCUGCCGGGAGAUGAACGCGGAGUAGCUUGGCCGUAAAGACCAUGUUCUCGUUUCAGAUUGGGAUCUCAGGAAGACAAGAGGUCAAUAUUACCCUGAGCAAUUGUCAUCCACAGGGAAAUGGAUGCACAAAGGUGACGGGGAGCUGAUUCUGGGCUCCUCAACACCAGCAAGUAAAGAUAACCCUUCCCCGCAUAACUGCUUUGGCUGACAACAAUAAGGUAGAGUCCAGUGAAAUGCAGGUGGUGUGACUUCUGCAAAAGGUGGAUUAGCCCCAAACACGUGGUGGGCUUUCACAGGGAUUCUGGGAAAAUGUCUUCCUGAAAUAAACUCUUCCAUUUGCUCUCAGAUGCCUGGAAUUCUUUACCACCAAAAGGAAAUCCUUUCAUCCAAUGUUUACAGUAAAGGAUUACAACGCACAUACACUGGGAAAGUCUCCCUUCGGCAGCACCUACACACAGCGUUGAAUGAAGUGUUAUUCGAGGACCUGCUAUAUAUAAGAUUGACACUUGGGAUAGCAGUGCUUAGUCAUGUAUGAAGGACAGAAAGGAGCCCAUUGUGCCUGAAAAGUAGGAAAUAUGCCAGACAAUGGAAGAUGUAGUUGGAAAAGUAGCAACGCCUGGAUUACAGGGGGCAUGUCACCCUGGAGAAUGCACUGAAGGAGGUGAAGCUGAAAUGAAAGCCUGGAGACCAACGUGAAGUUGAUGCAUUAAUACAAACAAGAGAACAGUGGCCUGGACUAAACAAGUAGCAGUAAAGAAGGGAGAAGUGGCCGGGCACGGUGGCUCAAGCCUGUAAUCCCAGCACUUUGGGAGGCCGAGGCAGGCAGAUUACCUGAGGUCGAGAGUUCGAGACCAUCCUGGCCAACACAGUGAAACCACGUCUCUACUAAAAAUACAAAAAUUAGCCAGGCAUGGUGGUGCGUGCCUGUAAUCCCAGCUACUUGGGAGGCUCAGGCAGGAGAAUCGCUUGAACCUGGGAGGCAGAGGUUGCAGUGAGCCGAGAUCGCACCAUUGCACAGCCUGGACAACAAAAGCG
rnacentral:lncRNA from 1 species